GAUGAACGCUGGCGGUAUGCUUAACACAUGCAAGUCGAACGGUCUCUUCGGAGAUAGUGGCGGACGGGUGAGUAACGCGUGAGAAUCUGCCUUCAGGUGGGGGAUAACAGUUGGAAACGACUGCUAAUACCGCAUAUGUCGCAAGAUGAAAGAUUUAUUGCCUGAAGAUGAGCUCGCGUCCGAUUAGCUAGUUGGUGGGGUAAGAGCCUACCAAGGCAACGAUCGGUAGCUGGUUUGAGAGGACAACCAGCCACACUGGGACUGAGACACGGCCCAGACUCCUACGGGAGGCAGCAGUGGGGAAUUUUCCGCAAUGGGCGAAAGCCUGACGGAGCAAUACCGCGUGGGGGAUGAAGGUUUGUGGAUUGUAAACCCCUUUUCUCUAGGAAGAAGUUCUGACGGUACUAGAGGAAUCAGCAUCGGCUAACUCCG
rnacentral:rRNA from 1 species